rnacentral:misc_RNA from 1 species
UUGAUUGAUUUGCUAGUCACUCCGACGUACAGACACAGAGUUGAAAUGGUCCACCGGGGACCCCGGCGCGGAGGCCGGGUCACCCCCGAGGCAACAGGUGUUGGUCAACAAAGGGUUGGAGGUCGGGCCGGAAGCCCUCACUCGGUAAUGAUCCCUCCGCAGGUUCACCUACGGAGA